AAGACGCACUCUCUCGAGCUUCUUCUAUUUAAACCCCGGUUCCUGGUCGCGACCCCUCCUCACGAAUUCUAGGGUUUCCUCCUCCACUCCCAUCGUUCCCGCUCCCUCUCCAGCAAUGUAAGGAUUCGAAGCCCUAGCGCUCAAUAUCUUCGACGGGUGUCUCGAGGCGAUCGUCCGCGGCCGCCGCGCCGGUCUCCUCUCCGCUGCCGACUCCAACAACCUGUGCCAGUGCGAAACCCUAGACGACAUUAAAGACGCGCGUCUCCGCCACCGAGUUACGGGCCCUACCUCCGAAAUGGUACAGUUUCAUGAUUGACGAUGUUGUCUUUGUUGUCACUGGGACAUUGCAUGAGAGAGAUGUUCAUGAACCAUUGGAGAAAUGCCAUCCUUUGGUGUAUGUUUGACAGGCAUCCCUAUCACCUAUGGGCAUGAGGAACUUACUGUCUGCGAGGACAUUGACCAGAUGCAUGCUGUGGUGGAAAACUAUCCACCAUAUCAGCCUAUUUUCACUAAGAUGUCCUAUGGAGAAACCCAAAUGCUCGACAAAGGCCUUUUUAUGAAGAAGAGGUGAAAAGGCUUUGCCUGGCUUUUGAAACAGCAGUUUCAGUACGCCGUCUUCUUUGGUUACAUUAGAUUGAGGGAGCAGGAGAUGAGGAACCUGAUGUGGAUCUCGGAAUGUGUUGCACAGAACCAAAAUGUCGAGGGUUCAUGACAGUGUGGUCUUCAUCUUUCGAGUCCUUUUAUUUUAGAUCAACUCUGUAAAUUGUCCUUCGCAGAUCACAAGAGACAAUGCAGCCAUUUUUCAUAUCGGAUGCAUUUUGUCUCCUUUUAUUUAUUCUCCCCCUUCUUCAGUUUUACGAAAAAUCAUGUGUGGAUCAUGUGCCAUUCUUUAUUGCUUUACCCAAAGAACGUACAACUGCUAAUCCAUGUGGGGAGACUCUGUUUGUACUUAAAAUAAGCUCUGUACCGGAUUAACUAAUUUUCCCUUGAAUUGUUGUGCGGCUUUGUUCGCUCACGUGACAGCUGCUGAGUCAUCUCUCUCAACAUCCCUUGGACGGCCUGGUUUUGUUCAACUUGGCUGCAUCCGAGUUCUGCGAGGUCUUGUAAAGACCUGGAAAAGGCUUUCAUGUAGGGUCCGUUGAUCGGUCCUCAUUCCAUGAAUAGCCUGGGCCAUCGUCGCUGGCCCAGAUCCCACCGACUCUGAAAGUGGCGGUAGAUCGGGAAUCUUAUAAACAUUGCCGCUUCUAAGAUUCAUCCUUUAGCUUCCCAGUGUCCCACCGUACAAAAAAGGAUGUUGGCUAUAAAAUGCGCGGGCGACAAUUAUACUGCUAGGAAGUGAACAAGAUGUAGCAGGUGAUCACAUGCGUCGUAGUUUGUCUCCUAUCCUGCAGCAGUAUCUUUUGCACUUCACGAAAAGAAAUUAUGGAUCGCCUAACCCUGAAUCUGUGAAUCCAACGUAAUUCAAGAGCAAUGUGGUAUUUGAGUUUUUGUGAAGUGUGGUUAUUUUUUUGUUAUUUGUUUUGACGUAACUCGUCCAGCCUGAAAGCUAAAUUCAAUUACUUU